rnacentral:rRNA from 1 species
UACGUAGGGUGCAAGCGUUAAUCGGAAUUACUGGGCGUAAAGCGUGCGCAGGCGGUGAUGUAAGACAGAUGUGAAAUCCCCGGGCUCAACCUGGGAAUGGCAGUGGAAACUGGCGAGCUUGAGUGUGGCAGAGGGGGGUGGAAUUCCGCGUGUAGCAGUGAAAUGCGCAGAUAUCAGGAAGAACACCCGUGGCUAAGGCGGCUCUCUAGUACGGUACUGACGCUGAGACGCGAAAGCGUGGGGAGCGAACAGG